rnacentral:rRNA from 1 species
UACGAAGGGGGCUAGCGUUGUUCGGAAUCACUGGGCGUAAAGCGCACGUAGGCGGGUUCUUAAGUCAGGGGUGAAAUCCUGGAGCUCAACUCCAGAACUGCCUUUGAUACUGGGAAUCUCGAGUCCGGGAGAGGUGAGUGGGAACUGCGAGUGUAGAGGUGAAAUUCGUAGAUAUUCGCAAGAACACCAGUGGCGAAGGCGGCUCACUGGCCCGGUACUGACGCUGAGGUGCGAAAGCGUGGGGAGCAAACAGG